UUCGCAAUGCCCGAAAGGGUGACGAAGCGACGCCGCGUGCGGGAAGAAGGCCUUCGGGUUGUAAACCGCUGUCGGGAGUUAAGAAAUGUAAGGAUGUUAAUAGCAUCUUUGCUUGACUAAGGCUCCGGAGGAAGCCACGGCUAACUCUGUGCCAGCAGCCGCGGUAAUACAGAGGCGGCAAGCGUUGUUCGGAAUUGUUGGGCGUAAAGAGCACGUAGGCGGCUAUGUAAGUCGGUUGUGAAAGCCUUCCGCUCAACGGGAGAACAGCAUCCGAUACUGCAUGGCUUGAGUGCGGGAGGGGAGAGUGGAACUUCUGGUGGAGCGGUGAAAUGCGUAGAUAUCAGAAGGAACGCCGGCGGCGAAAGCGGCUCUCUGGCCCAUAACUGACGCUGAGUGUGCGAAAGCUAGGGGAGCAAACGGGAUUAGAUACCCCGGUAGUCCUAGCCGUAAACGAUGGGCACUAAGUAGAGGGGUUUU
rnacentral:rRNA from 1 species